GACGAACGCUGGCGGCGUGCCUAAUACAUGCAAGUCGAACGCAGUGGGGACGGGUGAGUAACACGUGGGUAACCUCCCAUCAGAGGGGAUAACACUUGGAAACAGGUGCUAAACCGAGACUGAUGGAUGGACCCGCGGGGCAUUAGCUAGUUGGUGAGGUAACGGCUCACCAAGGCCACGAUGCAUAGCCGGCCUUAGAGGGUGAUCAGCCACACUGGGACUGAGACACGGCCCAGACUCCUACGGGAGGCAGCAGUGGGGAAUAUUCCGCAAUGGACGAAAGCCUGACGGAGCAAUGCCGCGUGAAUGAAGAAGGUUCUAGGAUCGUAAAACCCUGUUGUUAGAGAAGCGUUAUCUAACGAGAAAGCCACGGCUAACUACGUGCCAGCAGCCGCGGUAAUAC
rnacentral:rRNA from 1 species